rnacentral:rRNA from 1 species
UACGAGGGGUCCAAGCGUUGCUCGGAAUCAUUGGGCGUAAAGCGGGUGUAGGUGGCUUUGUAAGUCAGGAGUGAAAGCCCUGGGCUUAACCCAGGAAGUGCUUUUGAUACUGCAAAGCCUGAGUGUGGGAGAGGAUCGUGGAAUUCCAGGUGUAGUGGUGAAAUACGUAGAUAUCUGGAGGAACACCGGUGGCGAAGGCGGCGAUCUGGCCCAACACUGACACUCAGACCCGAAAGUGCGGGGAUCAAACAGG